rnacentral:tRNA from 1 species
AAUUGUUUAAGUAGUUUAAUUUAGAAUAAUAAUUUGUGGAAUUAUAGGUAUUAUGAGUAAGUCUUAAA